rnacentral:rRNA from 1 species
UACGUAGGGGGCAAGCGUUAUCCGGAUUCACUGGGCGUAAAGGGAGCGCAGGCGGCACGGCAAGUCCGGUGUGAAAGCCCGGGGCCCAACCCCGGGACUGCACUGGAAACUGCCGGGCUGGAGUGUCGGAAGGGCAGGCGGAAUUCCUGGUGUAGCGGUGAAAUGCGUAGAUAUCAGGAGGAACACCGGUGGCGAAGGCGGCCUGCUGGACGAUGACUGACGCUGAGGCUCGAAAGCGUGGGGAGCAAACAGG